rnacentral:lncRNA from 1 species
UGGGAGGGAGAGCUAAACCUUCAGAGGGGCAGACAUGCCUGGGAAGCCAGAAGAGACUACACUCUGCCCACAUUUCUGACUCCAGAGGAAAACACCAAACGCCAUCUGGGACCCUGGUGCACAGGGGCCCCGGGGAAAGGUGGCACAGGCCCUCCUGGUUGCCGCCCUCACGGAGAGCUCAAAAGCAGCCCCCCAGGAGCCACUUCAGCCACGGGACCACAGGUAAGACCAACUUUUCUGCUCCAAGUGACCUGCCAGGUGGACUCAGGACUCAGCGCCCACAGGAACAGCUGAAGACCAGGAAAGACAGACAGGAAAGACUACACGCCUGAAAUCAGAACACUCUGUUCCCAUAACUGGCUG